GAUGAACGCUGGCGGCGUGCCUAACACAUGCAAGUCGAGCGAUUCUCUUCGGAGAAGAGCGGCGGACGGGUGAGUAACGCGUGGGUAACCUGCCCUGUACACACGGAUAACAUACCGAAAGGUAUGCUAAUACGAGAUAAUAUGCUUUUAUCGCAUGGUAGAAGUAUCAAAGCUUUUGCGGUACAGGAUGGACCCGCGUCUGAUUAGCUAGUUGGUAAGGUAACGGCUUACCAAGGCGACGAUCAGUAGCCGACCUGAGAGGGUGAUCGGCCACAUUGGAACUGAGACACGGUCCAAACUCCUACGGGAAGCAGCAGUGGGGAAUAUUGCACAAUGGGCGAAAGCCUGAUGCAGCAACGCCGCGUGAGCGAUGAAGGCCUUCGGGUCGUAAAGUUCUGUCCUCAAGGAAGAUAAUGGCGGUACUUGAGGAGGAAGCCCCGGCUAACUACGUG
rnacentral:rRNA from 1 species